rnacentral:rRNA from 1 species
GCGAAAUCUUGUAGGAGCUUGCUCCUUAAGGUUAGCGGCGGACGGGUGAGUAACACGUGGGCAACCUGCCUGUAAGACUGGGAUAACACCGGGAAACCUGUGCUAAUACCGGAUAAUUCUUCACCUCGCGUGGGGUGAAGCUGAAAGUCGGUUUCGGCUGACACUUACAGAUGGGCCCGCGGCGCAUUAGUUAGUUGGUGAGGUAACGGCUCACCAAGGCAACGAUGCGUAGCCGACCUGAGAGGGUGAUCGGCCACACUGGGACUGAGACACGGCCCAUACUCCUACGGGAGGCAGCAGUAGGGAAUCUUCCGCAAUGGACGAAAGUCUGACGGAGCAACGCCGCGUGAGUGAUGAAGGCCUUCGGGUCGUAAAACUCUGUUGUUAGGGAAGAACAAGUACCGGAGUAACUGCCGGUACCUUGACGGUACCUAACCAGAAAGCCACGGCUAACUACGUGCCAGCAGCCGCGGUAAUACGUAGGUGGCAAGCGUUGUCCGGAAUUAUUGGGCGUAAAGCGCGCGCAGGCGGUCCUUUAAGUCUGAUGUGAAAGCCCACGGCUCAACCGUGGAGGGUCAUUG